UUCAGAUUGCAGGCUGCAACUCGCCUGCAUGAAGUCGGAAUUGCUAGUAAUCGUAGGUCAGCAUACUACGGUGAAUACGUUCCCGGGCCUUGUACACACCGCCCGUCAAACCAUGAGAGUUGGCAACACCCGAAGUCGGUAGUCUAACCGCAAGGAGGACGCCGCCGAAGGUGGGGUUGAUGAUUAGGGUUAAGUCGUAACAAGGUAUC
rnacentral:rRNA from 1 species